GACGAACGCUGGCGGCGUGCUUAACACAUGCAAGUCGAACGAUGAAGCCUUUCGGGGUGGAUUAGUGGCGAACGGGUGAGUAACACGUGGGUAAUCUGCCCUGCACUCUGGGAUAAGCCCGGGAAACUGGGUCUAAUACCGGAUAUGACUUUCUUACGCAUGUAGGAAGGUGGAAAGUUCCGGCGGUGCAGGAUGAACCCGCGGCCUAUCAGCUUGUUGGUGGGGUAAUGGCCUACCAAGGCGACGACGGGUAGCCGGCCUGAGAGGGCGACCGGUCACACUGGGACUGAGACACGGCCCAGACUCCUACGGGAGGCAGCAGUGGGGAAUAUUGCACAAUGGCGAAAGCCUGAUGCAGCGACGCCGCGUGAGGGAUGACGGCCUU
rnacentral:rRNA from 1 species